CCUCAACAUGAUAUUAGCAUCUUGUUUGACUGAAAGCAUUGAUAAAAAAUUCAGAAAGACCUUCCCAAACGACCUAAAAUGUGGAAAUUUCAAUGGGGCCAUUGAUGCGUUUUCACUCAGCACUGAUUCAUUGAUUGAAAAGUACAAAAAUGUCGAACUGCAACUGACAUUUCUGCAGACCGAGG